UCCAGCAAACAGCCAGAGCAAAUACCAGGUCGUGAUUCCCAGCAACCAGUGUGGCUGUGACACCCGCAUGGAGCCACUCUGCCUGCCUGGCUCCCUGUGGGCUGCUGAGCCAGGUUCAAGCAGACACAACAAUAGCUGACUCUGGACCUGUGGGCUCUGGCGCCCAAUCCAGGGGCCUGGGAGCUGCAUGCUGCUUUGCCUCUUAGCAGGCAGGAGGAAUGAAGGAGAAACGAAGGCAUUCCCAGAUAGAGGAAAACUAAGAGAUUACGUUGCCAACAGACCUGUUUGAAAAGAAAUGUUAGAGGAAGUUCUUCAGAUUGGUGGAAAAUGAUCCCAGAGGGAAAAUUAGAACUUAUGAAUGAAGGUAGAGCAACAAAAGUGGUAAACACCUGUAACACUUCUGGAACCAAAUGUGUAGGGUUCUUCCACACCAACAGCAAAUUCUCCAACUCUUGAGAUACCGACUGCAUAUGCAAUGACAAUCCCAAUGAGACCUCAGCUCUGGUUGACACAUCGAUUACAGCUUCAUGGGAGACCCUGCAGCACAGCCCCAAUCAAAUCAUGCCUGGAUUCACGACCCACAG